ACUCAAAUGAAUAGACGGGGACCCGCACAAGCGGUGGAACAUGUGGUUUAAUUCGAGGCAACGCGAAGAACCUUACCAGGAUUCGACAUGCCCUCUAUGGAAAGCUGAAAGGCAUUCCUUCACUUCGGGUGGGAGGAGCACAGGUGCUGCAUGGCUGUCGUCAGCUCGUGUCGUGAGAUGUUGGGUUAAGUCCCGCAACGAGCGCAACCCUCGUCCUCUGUUGCUAACAGGUAAUGCUGAGAACUCUGAGGAAACUGCCGGUGAUAAGCCGGAGGAAGGUGGGGAUGACGUCAAGUCCUCAUGGCCCUUACAUCCUGGGCUACACACGUGUUACAAUGGUGGUGACAAUGAGUCGCGAUCCCGCAAGGGCUAGCUAAUCUCAAAAAGCCACCUCAGUUUGGAUUGUACUCUGCAACUCGAGUACAUGAAAUUGGAAUCGCUAGUAAUCGCGGAUCAGCACGCCGCGGUGAAUACGUUCCCGGGUCUUGUACACACCGCCCGU
rnacentral:rRNA from 1 species